CCAGAGCCGUGAUAUGUCUGUCCGUUUCUUGAAAAGCUUUCUGCAGAAAGGGUCCUGAUCAGAAAUGGUCAAUGUUCUCAAGGGAAUGCUGAUUGAGUGUUUCUUCUGCAUCUGGAUGAGACCAGUGCUUUAGGAAGGCGCUUCAUCCUCCAGGAUCUGGAUGACAUGCACCUGUUCAUUUCCAGCGAUAUUUACGAC